AAGGAUUUAAGUUAAUUAAAACUAGAAACCUUCAAAGUUUCCAAUAUAUAAGAUUAUAAGCCUUA
rnacentral:tRNA from 1 species